rnacentral:lncRNA from 1 species
GUGUCCAAAGCACGUGUAUCGUGGGAAAACACAAAACAAAAAUUUAUUUUACUAUAAUUCCUUUCUUUCUAGCUCUGUUUCCAGAUGAACCUACAAAACUCACGGUCACUAACAUCAAGUCAAGAACUGCUAGGAUAUCUUGGAUAAACCCCAACAACACAGGAGAUGGAGAUCUUACAGGAUUUCGGAUUAAAUUGAAGAAAGAGAACUGCCUUAUUCUGAACACUACCACAGAUAAAGUCAAUGAAUAUGACUUAGAUAAUCUCACACCAUACACUACAUAUAAAAUAUCUGUAGCUGUUGGAAAUAAACAUGGUUUUGGUGAAGAGACUAUUACUUCGUUCUUAACAUCGGAG